rnacentral:rRNA from 1 species
GACGAACGCUGGCGGCGCGCCUAACACAUGCAAGUCGAACGGAGCUGAGAGAAGCUUGCUUUUCUUAGCUUAGUGGCGAACGGGUGAGUAACGCGUGUGUAACCUGCCCUGGAGUGGGGGACAACAGUUGGAAACGACUGCUAAUACCGCAUAAGCCCACGAUCCGGCAUCGGGUUGAGGGAAAAGGAUUUAUUCGCUUCAGGAUGGACUCGCGUCCAAUUAGCUAGUUGGUGAGGUAACGGCCCACCAUGGCGACGAUUGGUGGCCGGACUGAGAGGUGGAACGGCCACAAUGGGACUGAGACACGGCCCAGACUCCUACGGGAGGCAGCAGUGGGGGAUAUUGCACAAUGGGGGAAACCCUGAUGCAGCGACGCCGCGUGGAGGAAGAAGGUUUUCGGAUUGUAAACUCCUGUCGUUAGGGACGAUAAUGACGGUACCUAACAAGAAAGCACCGGCUAACUACGUG